AAUGAACGCUGGCGGCAGGCCUAACACAUGCAAGUCGAACGGUAACAGGUCUUCGGAUGCUGACGAGUGGCGAACGGGUGAGUAAUACAUCGGAACGUGCCCAAUCGUGGGGGAUAACGCAGCGAAAGCUGUGCUAAUACCGCAUACGAUCUACGGAUGAAAGCGGGGGAUCUUCGGACCUCGCGCGAAUGGAGCGGCCGAUGGCAGAUUAGGUAGUUGGUAGGGUAAAAGCCUACCAAGCCGACGAUCUGUAGCUGGUCUGAGAGGACGACCAGCCACACUGGGACUGAGACACGGCCCAGACUCCUACGGGAGGCAGCAGUGGGGAAUUUUGGACAAUGGGCGCAAGCCUGAUCCAGCAAUGCCGCGUGCAGGAUGAAGGCCUUCGGGUUGUAAACUGCUUUGUACGGAGCGAAAAGGUCUCUUCUAAUACAAGAGGCCCAUGACGGUACCGUAAGAAUAAGC
rnacentral:rRNA from 1 species